rnacentral:rRNA from 1 species
UAGGGAAUCUUCGGCAAUGGACGAAAGUCUGACCGAGCAACGCCGCGCGAGUGAAGAAGGUUUUCGGAUCGUAAAACUCUGUUGUUAGAGAAGAACAAGGACGUUAGUAACUGAACGUCCCCUGACGGUAUCUAACCAGAAAGCCACGGCUAACUACGUGCCAGCAGCCGCGGUAAUACGUAGGUGGCAAGCGUUGUCCGGAUUUAUUGGGCGUAAAGCGAGCGCAGGCGGUUUCUUAAGUCUGAUGUGAAAGCCCCCGGCUCAACCGGGGAGGGUCAUUGGAAACUGGGGGACUUGAGUGCAGAAGAGGGGAGUGGAAUUCCAUGUGUAGCGGUGAAAUGCGUAGAUAUAUGGAGGAACACCAGUGGCGAAGGCGGCUCUCUGGUCUGUAACUGACGCUGAGGCGCGAAAGCGUGGGGAGCAAACAGG